GUACCUGCGACAGCAUCCACUACCACCGUGCAUCUUGAGGCAACAUAACCAGGAACACACAAGGAGUGAAGGGACCUAAUAUUGGUACAAAGGAAAAAGGAAAAAGAAGAAGACCUCCCAUAAUUGUGAAGAAGAGCCGUCCUGGGCUCUUGGUCCUCUCCUUGGAAGGGGAAGUAAGAACCCGCAAGAAAACAACUUAGAUCUAAGGUAUGGUUGAGAAAUUCCUCUAAAU